rnacentral:rRNA from 1 species
GACGAACGCUGGCGGCGUGCUUAACACAUGCAAGUCGAACGGAAAAGCCCUGCUUUUGUGGGGUGUCCGAGUGGCGAACGGGUGUGUAACCCGUGAGUCUCCUGCCCUUGACUUUGGGAUAACUUCAGGCAACUGGGGCUAAUACCGGAUAGGUGCUCCUGCUGCAUGGUGGGGGUUGGAACGUUUCGGAGGUUGGGGAUGGACUCCCGGCUUAUCAGCUUGUUGGUGGGGUAGUGGCUUACCAAGGCUUUGACGGGUAGCCGGCCUGAGAGGUUGACCGGCCACAUUGGGACUGAGAUACGGCCCAGACGCCUACGUGAGGCAGCAGUGGGGAAUAUUGUACAAUGGGCGGAAGCCUGAUGCAGCAACGCCGCGUUCGUGAUGACGGCCUUCGGGUUGUAAACCGCUUUCGCCUGUGACGAAGCGUGAGUGACGGUAAUGGGUAAAGAAGCACCGGCUAACUACGUG